AUUCCAUGAUGAAUGCAUUUCUAUAAUAAUUCUUUGUACCUUUCCCAUGCCUCAUACAAGGGCACGUCAUCCAUUUUUUGGAAAAUAGUGCUCCCGUUCCUCAGCUU
rnacentral:snoRNA from 1 species